GCAACAUAGUGAGACCCUGUUUCUAUGAAAAAUAAAAUUAGCUGGUCGUGAUGGCACUUGCCUAUAGUCCUAGCUACUCAGGAGACUGAGGCCGGAGGAUUGCUUGAGCCUAUUAAGCCUGCAUGUUGUGAUCUCGGCUCAUUGCAACCUCCGCCUCCCAGGUUCAAGUGAUUCUCCUGCCUCAGCCUUUCAAGUAGCUGGGACUACAGGCGUCCGCCACCAUGCCCAGCUAAUUUUUGUAUUUUUAGUAGAGAUGGGGUUUUGCCAUGUUGGCCAGGCUGGUCUUGAAUUCCUGACCUCAGGUGAUCCACCCACCUCGGCCUCCCAAAGUAUCGAGAUUACAGGCAUGAGCCACCAUGCCCGGCCCCUGUGGGUCUUUUCAGAAAAUUUAAAUUUGUGAGAGAAAAACAUCUGAACAUCAGGUACAGUCUGAUCUACAAAGAUUCAACAGUAUGUCACUGCCCAGGUGUGGUAGCUCACAUCUGUACUACCAGCACUUUGGGAGGCCAAGGCAGAAGGAUCACUUGAGGCCAAGAGUUUGAGACCAGCCCUUGAAACAUAGUGAGAUCCCAUCUCUACAAAAAAUUUAAAAAUUAGCUGGUGUGGAGGUACAUGCCUGUAGUUCCAGCUACUUGGGAGGCUGAGGUGGGAGGAUUGCCUGAGCCUGGGAGUUCGAGGCUGCAGUGAGUGUGGUUGUGGCUCUGCACUCCAGCCUGGGUGACAGAGGGAGACCCUGUCUCAAAAACAAAAAACCCGAAAAAAUAAAAAAACAAAACCCAC
rnacentral:lncRNA from 1 species